rfam:Citrus clementina cultivar Clemenules unplaced genomic scaffold scaffold_4, whole genome shotgun sequence.
UGAAACCCCAGAGGAGUGAACCUGAGAACAGAGGGUGGCGUUGGCUUAAAUUUGAUUUGCAUUGCUGCUGCCUGCUCCUGCCAUACAUUAAAUCAAAAAGAUUGUAUGUGGCCAACGCACCUUGUGUUCUCAGGUCACCCCUUUGGGAAUUCA